rnacentral:rRNA from 1 species
GAGAGUUAAAUAGUACGUGAAAUUGUUGAAAGGGAAACGAUUGAAGCCAGUCGUACCUAUGGGUAAUCAGCCUUUUGGGUGUGAUUUUGUGGAGCGUGAGGAGUUAAACGCCUUCAUGCCUGCAUAUUCGUGCACUUUGGGUGUACUUGCCCGUAUGGUUGGUUAACAUCAAUUUUGGUGGUCAUAAAAUGACUGGAGGAAUGUAGCUUCGAUCUCGUAUUGAAGUGUUAUAGCCUUCGGUAGAUGUGAUGAUCGAGAUUGAGGAUUGCAACGGAUACCCUUCGGGGCUACCUGUCUGAUCUCUGAUCGUUGCUCUGGUGCCGAAAGCUUGCUUACGGUUAUCGAAGUCGAUGGUCAAUAGGUUAGAACGGGUUAAAUUCGUUAAGGAUGUUGACGUAAUGGCUUUAAACGA